rnacentral:rRNA from 1 species
UACGAAGGGGGCUAGCGUUGUUCGGAAUUACUGGGCGUAAAGGGCGCGUAGGCGGCCCGCUAAGUCGAACGUGAAAUCCCCAGGCUCAACCUGGGAACUGCGUCCGAUACUGGCAGGCUUGAAUCCGGGAGAGGGAUGUGGAAUUCCAGGUGUAGCGGUGAAAUGCGUAGAUAUCUGGAGGAACACCGGUGGCGAAGGCGGCAUCCUGGACCGGUAUUGACGCUGAGGCGCGAAAGCUAGGGGAGCAAACGGG